UGGGAGGACCAUCUCCUAAGGCUAAAUACUCUCUAGUGACCGAUAGUGAACCAGUACCGUGAGGGAAAGGUGAAAAGCACCCCGGAAGGGGAGUGAAAUAGAACCUGAAACCGUGUGCUUACAAGUAGUCAGAGCCCGUUAAUGGGUGAUGGCGUGCCUUUUGUAGAAUGAACCGGCGAGUUACGAUUUGAUGCAAGGUUAAGCAGUAAAUGUGGAGCCGUAGCGAAAGCGAGUCUGAAUAGGGCGUUUAGUAUUUGGUCGUAGACCCGAAACCAGGUGAUCUACCCUUGGUCAGGUUGAAGUUCAGGUAACACUGAAUGGAGGACCGAACCGACUUACGUUGAAAAGUGAGCGGAUGAACUGAGGGUAGCGGAGAAAUUCCAAUCGAACCUGGAGAUAGCUGGUUCUCUCCGAAAUAGCUUUAGGGCUAGCCUCAAGUGAUGAUUAUUGGAGGUAGAGCACUGUUUGGACGAGGGGCCCCUCUCGGGUUACCGAAUUCAGACAAACUCCGAAUGCCAAUUAAUUUAACUUGGGAGUCAGAACAUGGGUGAUAAGGUCCAUGUUCGAAAGGGAAACAGCCCAGACCACCAGCUAAGGUCCCAAAAUAUAUGUUAAGUGGAAAAGGAUGUGGCGUUGCCCAGACAACUAGGAUGUUGGCUUAGAAGCAGCC
rnacentral:rRNA from 1 species